rnacentral:misc_RNA from 1 species
GAUGAAGAACGUAGCGAAAUGCGAUAAGUAGUGUGAAUUGCAGAAUUCAGUGAAUCAUCGAAUCUUUGAACGCACAUUGCGCCCCUUGGUAUCCCGAGGGGCAUGCCUGUUCGAGCGUCAUUUCACCACUCAAGCCUGGCUUGGUGUUGGGCGACGUCCUCUUUGGGGACGCGCCUCGAAACGCUCGGCGGCGUGGCACCGGCUUUAAGCGUAGCAGAAUCUUUCGCUUUGGAAGUCGGGGCCCCGUCUGCCGGAAGACCUGCUCGCGAGGUUGACCUCGGAUCAGGCAGGGAUACCCGCUGAACUUAAGCAUAUCAAUAAGCGGAGGA